CAGUAGCCGCGGUAAUACGUAGGUGGCAAGCGUUGUCCGGAGUUAUUGGGCGUAAAGGGCUCGCAGGCGGUUUCUUAAGUCUGAUGUGAAAGCCCCCGGCUCAACCGGGGAGGGUCAUUGGAAACUGGGAAACUUGAGUGCAGAAGAGGAGAGUGGAAUUCCACGUGUAGCGGUGAAUGCGUAGAGAUGUGGAGGAACACCAGUGGCGAAGGCGACUCUCUGGUCUGUAACUGACGCUGAGGAGCGAAAGCGUGGGGAGCGAACAGGAUUAGAUACCCCGGUAGUCCCUGUCUCUUAUACA
rnacentral:rRNA from 1 species